rnacentral:rRNA from 1 species
AACGCGAAGAACCUUACCAGCCCUUGACAUCCCGGUCGCGGACUCCAGAGACGGAGUUCUUCAGUUCGGCUGGACCGGAGACAGGUGCUGCAUGGCUGUCGUCAGCUCGUGUCGUGAGAUGUUGGGUUAAGUCCCGCAACGAGCGCAACCCCCGUCCUUAGUUGCUACCAUUUAGUUGAGCACUCUAAGGAGACUGCCGGUGAUAAGCCGCGAGGAAGGUGGGGAUGACGUCAAGUCCUCAUGGCCCUUACGGGCUGGGCUACACACGUGCUACAAUGGCGGUGACAAUGGGAAGCGAAAGGGCAACCCCUAGCAAAUCUCAAAAAGCCGUCUCAGUUCGGAUUGUGCUCUGCAACUCGAGCCCAUGAAGUUGGAAUCGCUAGUAAUCGUGGAUCAUCACGCCA